UCAGUAGGUGAACCUGCGGCAGGAUCAUUA
rnacentral:rRNA from 1 species